rnacentral:rRNA from 1 species
CAGUCGCCACGGGAAUACGGAGGGUGCAAGCGUUAAUCGGAAUUACUGGGCGUAAAGCGUGCGUAGGCGGUUCGUUAAGUCUGUUGUGAAAGCCCCGGGCUCAACCUGGGAAUGGCAAUGGAUACUGGCGAGCUAGAGUGUGUCAGAGGAUGGUGGAAUUCCCGGUGUAGCGGUGAAAUGCGUAGAGAUCGGGAGGAACAUCAGUGGCGAAGGCGGCCAUCUGGGACAACACUGACGCUGAGGCACGAAAGCGUGGGGAGCAGACAGGAUUAGAGACCCCUGUAGUCCCUGUCUCUUAUAA